rnacentral:lncRNA from 1 species
CUCCCUAGGUAUAUAUUUAACUGUUUCGAAAUUGUUCGACUGUGAGGUCUUAAGCAUCUUAGAUUCUAAAUUUGGCAUAUUUAUUUCAACAUCUAUCUCAUUUUAUUUUCAAAACUAUGACAUAUGUAUCUACAUUUCAUAUAUAUAAAUAUAAAGCAAAUGUAGCCUGUUCCAUAGAGACGGGCUACACAUGACCAUGCUUUAAAAGAUGACGACUUUUAAGUAACAGACAUGAGGUCAGAAAUGAUCCAAAUCAUAUAUCAUAUGAUGAUCAUGCCCAUUAUUGUUCUGUAUUAGAUAUAUAACUCCAUAUAUUAAACAAGAUUUCAGUCAGUGUAUUUCAGUUGUAUUUUACUGCUGGUCUGUGUAUUCCAUUUUCAACCUAUUAAAGUUUGCGGCGAGUGUCUCAUGCAAAACAGGCACUAUUUCUCUUUCUAUAGUAUCUAGCUUUGAACUUAUACUGGGUUGGUUCCUAUUCUUAAUAGUUAUAGUUUUCUGUGUAGUUUUGUGGAUUUUGAAUGUCUUUCAGAAUUUUUUUUAAUAAUGAGGUUUGUUUCUAGAUAUACUAUGCCAUUACAUCUUUUUUUGCUCUCGUCCUAAUCUGAGACUACUAUAACAUGUUACAGUAGUCUCAGUCCUAAUAUGCACGAGCUUGUUACCACCAGUCUACACAUGUAAACAAACAAAAAA